CAAAUUGAUGCUACAACCUGACUGGGGGAUGGCUCGGCUCGAGAGCUGAUGAAGGUCGUGACAAGCUGCGAUAAGCUACGGGGAGGCGCAUGAAUGCCUUGGAUCCGUAGAUGGCCGAAUAGGACCUCCUGGCUUUACGAAGUCAUUCCCGUAUUAAUUUACUGGAAAGGGAACCGCCCGAAUUGAAGCAUCUUAGUAGGGCGAGGAACAGAAAUCAAACGAGAUUCCGUUAGUAGUGGCGAAUGAACACGGAAUAGAACAAACCGAAUCCGCUUGGGAAACCUUGUGGAGAUGUGGGGUAUGGAUCACCUAUCGUCUAAAUUCACGAAACAGAAGUCGAUCUGGAACGACGUACCAUAGAGGGUGAAAGUCCCGUAAACGAAAAGAUGUCAACUUUUUAAGUGUUCCUGAGUACGACGGGACACGUGAAAUCUUGUCGGAAUCCGGGGGGACCACCCUCCAAGGC
rnacentral:rRNA from 1 species